AUAUAUAUAUAUGGAUAAAAAAAUUUAACUGUAUAUGAACGGCCCAGAUAUCUUUUGAACUGAGGAAGCAAACCCCACCAAGAUUUUGCCGCGUCAUCAUCAAUCUUCCCUACUUUUGGAACCUCUGGGUAGUAGUAGUAUAAUUUUGUGGUUGAGGGGCUGGCUAAGUCUUAGGUUUCAGUCAGGGAACUGAAAGGUAAGGGUUUAUUUUUGUGCGACUUUGAACAGAGAGAUUAUGAGCCAUUUGUACUACAUGCAUGAGGGCGGCGGCAGCAGCAGCAGCAGCGAGAAGUUCAAAGAUUUGGAAGGUAAUCAGAGCAGUAAGGCAAAGGAAAAAAGAAGAAAGAAGCAAAUCUGGGUCUUACUAAGUAAAUCCUCAAUGGUCAAUGCCCACAUUGUUACUGUAACUACUGGACUCGAAGCCCGAACUGGUACAGAAGAAUUUGGCCUGGGUGGUUGGUUCUUGAAGCAGGGAUUGUGAUAGAAAAGUUCACAUAGUUGUUGUGUGAAAGAACAGUUCCAGCAUUAUAAUUUGUGAUUUUAAUCAGCAGUGAAUAAUAAUCAUAAUGGUCGUUCAAUAGAAAUGCCGAAUCGGAUGCCCUCAACUGACCUAUGGUUGCAGCAUCAUGUUUGCUUAGUUUUGAAAAGGUAUAGUGGGAUAUUUGUUCAAUUUGGAAUUUCGUUAUGAACGUUCUAUGCAAUUAUAUCAUUCUUUUUUAUCCAAGGACAUCAUGUAGUUGAGCUUAGCAAAGUCUGUUACCAGAGCUCGGAACUAUGCCAACCAUUUGUAUUAGACCUUUGGGUUGACAAACAUUUGACCAUUAGAAUUUGGAUUAACCUUCAGUAUCAACCAUUUGUAGCUUUUGUCAUGUCUUCGUUGGAUAAAGUAACAACUCUCUCUCACUCUUUUUGGCAAAGGGGUAUCCAUUUGUCCUUUCGGAGAACCACAACUUGCCCUCCAUAGCUUGAGACUAGUUGUGCCAGGUCACAUUAGUCCUUGGGUUGAUGAGCCAACCUUGUUUUUAGAUAAAGUAACGUCUAUUGCAUGACUCAGCCAGUUGUGCCCAACUCAUGUCAUUGAGGAUGGGGGUUUGUGUCAAAAUUCUAGGUUCGAUUACAUAGCGGUCUUCACGGUACGGAGAGAAUGGAUUUUCCUUGUAACUUAUAAGGCUAUAUACAAGCUCACAAUGAGAUUUAGGACUGCUUUAUCAAUCUAUGGAAUACAGCAUCAUUGAAGCCCGCCCUUCAUUUCUCUUGUCGGAUUAAGAAGGAUGGCCUUCAAGAAAGCUUGAUCUCAACUGUUAGGUCUGAAAGAUGGCCAAAUCAUUGAAGUUCACCAAUUUAUCUUCUAUACUCAAGAUGGCCUCCCAUACAAACCAGGUACUGUAAUUGGAAAGAUACAUGAUCCUUUUACAAGGAAAUGCUCUGUUUUGUUUGGUACCUAUGAUACUUUGGUGGAUAUCUCCUUUUUAUAUGGUUCAUUGUAUUCAAUAUAUCAAAUAUUUGUAUCUAUGUUGUGACUUCAUGAAUAAGGUCCUAGCUACAUACCUUGUUAGGUCAUCCUGAGAUGCUUGGGCUAUUGUCAUCCUGAGAUGCUUGGGCUAUUGUCAUCCUGAGAUGCUUGGGCUAUUCAUGGAGCUCAAUUACAUGUUUUAGUCACAGAUUUUAGUUAAUUCCAGGAGCGCUAAAUAAUAUUGCACAUCCUCAAACA